AGGUAGUUAGUUUAACAUAAAACCUUUGAUUUCGGCUCAAAAACUCGUGGUUAAAACCCACGACUGCCUG
rnacentral:tRNA from 1 species